rnacentral:lncRNA from 1 species
UGUGUGUGAUAUAUAUAUAUAUAUAUAUAUAUAUAUAUAUAUAUACAGGUUAGUAUCCACUUUUUCUUAUUCCUUAACUGCCCCUGUAAUUACAUUACCAACCCAUUAGUAAGAGGGAUAAGUCUUUUGACCCGAAAAAUGAAUAGUUUUGAAGGAAAGACAAAAAAGGCCAUUACAUUUUUCUUGUUUAAUGAGGCGGCAGAACUUCAGAAAAUAGAGAAGUGGGCAAAAUGUUAACCCUUGAUGAGAUAAUUUAUAGCCACACAAAUUUCUAUGGCUUAUUUUAGACCACAAGUUUCAAAAGUCUUUCUUUCCUUAUUGAACUUCAUGUUAAACACCAUCAUAUGAAUUGAGAUGCAGGGAGUGUUAGUUUUCUAU